UGAGGAAUAUUGGUCAAUGGGCGAGAGCCUGAACCAGCCAAGUAGCGUGCGGGAUGAAGGCCCUUGUGGUCGUAAACCGCUUUUAUCAGUGAAUAAAGUGCACCACGUGUGGUGUCAUUGCAGGUAGCUGAAGAAAAAGGACCGGCUAAUUCCGUGCCAGCAGCCGCGGUAAUACGGAAGGUCCGGGCGUUAUCCGGAAUUAUUGGGUUUAAAGGGAGCGCAGGCGGGAGUGUAAGUCAGCUGUUAAAUAUCAGGGCCCAACUCUGUUAUGCAGUUGAAACUAUAUUUCUUGAGUACGCACAGGGAUGGCGGAAUUCAGGGUGUAGCGGUGAAAUGCUUAGAUAUCCUGAAGAACUCCGAUCGCGAAGGCAGCCAUCCGGAGCGUAACUGACGCUGAGGCUCGAAGGUGCGGGUAUCGAACAGGAUUAGAUACCCUGGUAGUCCGCACGGUAAACGAUGAAUACUCGCAGUUCGGUCAUUAUGAUUGAGUUGUCCAGCGAAAGCGUUAAGUAUUCCACCUGGGGAGUACGCCGGCAACGGUG
rnacentral:rRNA from 1 species